UGACGUUGACCAAGUUUUUCAAUGGCGAUAAGAGAAUGAACAGGAUAACAUGUGGAUCUCACAUGUCAUUCUCUCUCUGCUAGGAUGAAUUUGCGAGGACUAUUUUAAAUAGUAUAGGUAGAGAAAACAACCAAAAAAAUAGUAGUAGCUAGCCAUAAUUUGGAUAGUGGAGGGCAACCAAGCACAUGAGAGGAGGGAAAUGGCACAAUGAGAGAAAAUAGGCACAAGUGAACUGUAUAGACACGCACUGGCG
rnacentral:lncRNA from 1 species